CCCUUAGAUGUCCUGGGCUGCACGCGCGCUACACUGACGAACUCAACGAGCUUAUCACCUUGGCAGAGAUGUCUGGGUAAUCUUUUGAAAGUUCGUCGUGCUGGGGAUGGAUGAUUGUAAUUAUUCGUCUUGAACGAGGAAUUCCUAGUAAGUGUGAGUCAUCAGCUCGCGCUGAUUACGUCCCUGCCCUUUGUACACACCGCCCGUCGCUCCUACCGAUUGAAUGGUCCGGUGAGGUUCUCGGAUUUUUUCUGUUGUUUGGUUCGCUAAACGAUUGAAGAGAGAAGUUACCCAAACCUUACCAUUUAGAGGAAGGAGAAGUCGUAACA
rnacentral:rRNA from 1 species